rnacentral:guide_RNA from 1 species
AUUUCACAUUAUAUACCGAGAGAUUCUAUAUUGU